rnacentral:rRNA from 1 species
CCUACGGGUGGCAGCAGUGAGGAAUAUUGGUCAAUGGGCGGGAGCCUGAACCAGCCAAGUCGCGUGAGGGAAGACGGUCCUAUGGAUUGUAAACCUCUUUAGGCGGGGAGCAAUGCCGGGCACGCGUGCCCGGAGGGAGAGUACCCGCAGAAUAAGCAUCGGCUAACUCCGUGCCAGCAGCCGCGGUAAUACGGAGGAUGCGAGCGUUAUCCGGUUUGAUUGGGGUUAAAGGGUGCGUAGGCGGGUUUUUAAGUCAGCGGUAAAAUGUCCGGGCUCAACCCGGGCCGGCCGUUGAAACUGGGGACAUUGAGUGGGUGAGAAGGAUGCGGAAUGCGUGGUGUAGCGGUGAAAUGCAGAGAUAUCACGCAGAACGCCGAUUGCGAAGGCAGCAGACCGGCGCUCGACUGACGCUGAGGCACGAAAGCGUGGGGAUCGAACAGGAUUAGAUACCCGAGUAGUC